rnacentral:rRNA from 1 species
AAUUUUUGACAAUGGGGAAAACCCUGAUACAGCAUUCCCGCGUGUAUGAUGAAGGCCUUCGGUUUGUAAAGUACUUUUGGCAGAAAAGAAUAUGUAUCCACUCAUAUGGGCUACUGCUGUCUGUAUCUGCAGAAUAAGCACCUGCGAACUACGUGCGAGCAGCCGCGGUAAUACGUAGAGUGCAAGCGUCAAUCGGAAUUACUGGGCGUAAAGCGUGUGUAGGCGGUUCGGAAAGAAAGAUGUGAAAUCCCAGGGCUCAACCUUGGAACUGCAUUUUUAACUGCCGAGCUAGAGUAUGUCAGAGGGGGGUAGAAUUCCACGUGUAGCAGUGAAAUGCGUAGAUAUGUGGAGGAAUACCGAUGGCGAAGGCAGCCCCCUGGGAUAAUACUGACGCUCAGACACGAAAGCGUGGGGAGCAAACAGG